rnacentral:tRNA from 2 species
UCCGAGGUAGCUCAGCGGUAGAGCAGUGCGCUGUUAACGCAUUGGUCCUGGGUUCGAAUCCCAGCCUCGGAGCCA